UUGAUACUGAAGGACUUGAAUAUAAUUGAGGUAAGCGGAAUGAGUAGUGUAGCGGUGAAAUGCUUAGAUAUUACUCAGAACACCAAUUGCGAAGGCAGCUUACCAAGCUAUAAUUGACGCUGAGGCACGAAAGCGUGGGGAUCGAACAGGAUUAGAUACCCUGGUAGUCCACGCCGUAAACGAUGUUCACUCGCUGUUUGCGAUAUACAGUAAGCGGCCAAGCGAAAGCAUUAAGUGAACCACCUGGGGAGUACGUCGGCAACGGUGAAACUCAAAGGAAUUGACGGGCGCCCGCACAAGCGGAGGAACAUGUGGUUUAAUUCGAUGAUACGCGAGGAACCUUACCUGGGCUUAAAUGUAGAUUGCAUGAGGUGGAAACACCCUUCCCUUCGGGGCCAUCUACAAGGUGCUGCAUGGUUGUCGUCAGCUCGUGCCGUGAGGUGUCGGGUUAAGUCCCAUAACGAGCGCAA
rnacentral:rRNA from 1 species